GGCCAGACUCCUACGGGAGGCAGCAGUCGGGAAUAUUGCUCAAUGGAGGAAACUCUGACGCAGUGACGCCGCGUAUAGGAAGAAGGUUUUCGGAUUGUAAACUAUUGUCCACAGGGAAGAUAAAAGACUGUACCUGUGAAGAAAGCUCCGGCUAACUACGUGCCAGCAGCCGCGGUAAUACGUAGGGAGCAAGCGUUAUCCGGAAUUAUUGGGUGUAAAGGGUGCGUAGACGGGAUAACAAGUUAGUUGUGAAACCCCUCGGCUCAACUGAGGAACUGCAACUAAAACUAUUAUUCUUGAGUGCAGGAGAGGAAAGUGGAAUUCCUAGUGUAGCGGUGAAAUGCGUAGAUAUUAGGAGGAACACCAGUGGCGAAGGCGGCCUGCUGGACGACAACUGACGGUGAGGCGCGAAAGCGUGGGGAGCAAACAGGAUUAGAUACCCCAGUAGA
rnacentral:rRNA from 1 species